rnacentral:rRNA from 2 species
UCUGGUAUCGAUGCGCUUGUGGGAAACACCCGUUCCCAUCCCGAACACGACGGUUAAGACGCAAGCGGCCGAUGGUACUGCAUUGGAGACGGUGUGGGAGAGCAGGUGGAUGCCAGAU